rnacentral:rRNA from 1 species
GAACCUACGGGACGCAGCAGUGGGGAAUAUUGCACAAUGGGGGAAACCCUGAUGCAGCGACGCCGCGUGAGUGAAGAAGUGUUUCGGAACGUAAAGCUCUGUCAGCAGGGAAGAAAAUGACGGUACCUGACCAAGAAGCCCCGGCUAACUACGGGCCAGCAGCCGCGGUAAUACGUAGGGGGCAAGCGUUAUCCGGAUUUACUGGGUGUAAAGGGAGCGCAGACGGCAGCGCAAGUCAGGGGUGAAAGCCCGCGGCCAAACCGCGGGAGUGCCCGGGAAA